GUGGCAGCGCCAUUUUGAACGUGCAGCCGCCUCGGGCGUGAGUCCUUCGGGGUAGGGCAGCCGGCGUGGCGACCUAGGCGUCUUCUCUGACUUUGUCCUUCCAUAUUCCGUUUCUGUAGGCAUAUAUAGUGAUACAGCUAUAGAUCUAGAAUUCUGUCCGGUAUAAGUGCACUCCCUAAGAUGAUGUUAAGAGGAAACCUGAAGCAAGUACGCAUUGAGAAAAACCCGGCCCGCCUUCGCGCUCUGGAGUCUGCGGCAGGCGAGAGCGAGCCGACGGCCGCCAUGGCGCUCGCGCUGGCUGGGGAGCCGGCGCCACCUGCCCCGGUGCCCCCGGAGGACCACCCCGACGAGGAGAUGGGCUUCACCAUCGACAUCAAGAGCUUCCUCAAGCCGGGCGAGAAAACGUACACGCAGCGCUGCCGCCUCUUCGUGGGGAACUUGCCCACGGACAUCACGGAGGAGGACUUCAAGCGGCUCUUCGAGCGCUACGGCGAGCCCAGCGAGGUCUUCAUCAAUCGGGACCGUGGCUUCGGCUUCAUCCGUUUGGAAUCCAGAACACUGGCUGAAAUUGCAAAAGCAGAGCUGGAUGGCACCAUUUUGAAGAGCAGACCUCUCCGAAUUCGUUUUGCUACACAUGGAGCAGCCCUAACUGUCAAGAACCUCUCGCCGGUUGUUUCCAAUGAGCUUCUAGAGCAAGCAUUUUCCCAGUUUGGUCCAGUAGAGAAAGCCGUUGUGGUUGUGGAUGAUCGUGGUAGAGCUACAGGAAAAGGUUUUGUAGAAUUUGCAGCAAAACCUCCUGCACGAAAGGCUCUGGAAAGAUGUGGUGAUGGGGCAUUCUUGCUAACAACGACCCCUCGUCCAGUCAUUGUGGAGCCUAUGGAGCAGUUUGAUGAUGAAGAUGGCUUGCCAGAGAAGCUAAUGCAGAAAACUCAACAAUAUCAUAAGGAAAGAGAACAGCCACCACGUUUUGCUCAACCUGGGACAUUUGAAUUUGAGUAUGCAUCUCGAUGGAAGGCUCUUGACGAAAUGGAAAAGCAGCAGCGUGAACAGGUUGAUAGAAACAUCAGAGAAGCCAAAGAGAAACUGGAAGCAGAAAUGGAAGCAGCUAGGCAUGAACACCAAUUAAUGCUAAUGAGGCAAGAUCUAAUGAGGCGUCAAGAAGAACUCAGACGAUUGGAAGAACUCAGAAACCAAGAGUUGCAAAAACGGAAGCAAAUACAACUGAGACAUGAGGAAGAGCACCGUCGCCGUGAGGAAGAAAUGAUCCGACACAGAGAACAGGAGGAACUCAGGCGACAGCAAGAGGGCUUUAAGCCAAACUAUAUGGAGAAUAGAGAACAGGAAAUGAGAAUGGGUGAUAUGGGUCCCCGUGGAGCAAUAAACAUGGGAGAUGCAUUUAGCCCAGCCCCUGCUGGUAACCAAGGUCCUCCUCCAAUGAUGGGUAUGAAUAUGAACAACAGAGGAACUAUACCUGGCCCACCAAUGGGUCCUGGUCCUGCCAUGGGACCAGAAGGAGCUGCAAAUAUGGGAACUCCAAUGAUGCCAGAUAAUGGAGCAGUGGAGGGUGAAAGAAAACAUGGAUGAAGCUGCCUGAAUAUCGGCUUCUGGCAUGAAUCAAGUUCAGAGACUAGGAAAUGCUGGUGUCAGAUUCCCUUUCAGGUCAUCUUGUGGGAGAAAUGCUUUUAAAGACAGAGGAGAAACAGCCAGAAAACAGAGAUUUCAUUUGUGAAUUUAUUACUCCAUAUAAACAACUUAUGAGUAAUCGUUAACACUUGACAUUACGCCUCAUGGACCAAUUUUCCGUGGUUAAAAUACCUGGAAUGGUGCAAACUUCCACUUUCAUUCAGGUGUUGUAAGACUUCUCGCUGGCUGAUGUUGCAAAGUAGUGUGGUAGUAGCCUACGAAUACAGACAAACUUCUCCUUUCAAUUCGCUAUAAAUGGGAACUGUUAGAGGGAUUUUUUUUGGCAUCCCCUCUAGCCUGCAAUUUGGGGUCAGUCCCCAAGAUAAGGGGCUCCUCAUGAAAUUUGGCACUGUUGUGAGAAAAAUCAUGUGUUACUAAAGCCAUAUAUACAUAUUUAAGCCCAAAGAAAGCAAAGAGUAUGAGGGAAAUAGUGUGUUGUAGAAUAAUGAAAAAUUAAUUUCUUCCAAGUUAAACUGAUAUGCAGUAUUAGGCUUAGAUUCCAGCUGGGGUUCUUGGGGGCUCUGGAUGUCGGCAGAGGACUAUUUCUGGAUUUUAAUUUGGUCCUUAUUUGUGCCUCCUCACUGUAAUUAGAUUUAGCUUACUAGUAACACUUUUCUUUACUUGGAAGUAGAUGUGAGGCCUAGAAAUCCCAGUUUGGUCUGAAAGGAGAUUUAUCCGCAAGUCUGCACAGAGAAGAGGAAAGCCGUAUGGAUCCUGUGAGUGGUUCUCUGCGUUUACUUAGCCAAUAAAGUUUAAAAAGUUUACAACAGUUUUAGGAGUUUAUAUAGUAUUUAGGCUAUGAAACAUGAACUGUAUGAAAUGUUAACAUUUUCAGAAUUAUUUCACAAGUCACUUUUUGACAAUUCUGGCGUAUGUAUCCUCCUUUUCCUUGGUCUUUGCUAAUCAGUGAUCCUAAAUGACCUAUUCUCGGAGUGAAAGCAAACCAACUGUGGUUCAACAUUUGCGUCGUGUUAGGUAUUAGAGGUUUCUCUUUGGUACUAACCAUUGCGGAGAAAAGCCCGUAUAAUGUGUUUUCCGCUACAGCCAUGCUUAUUAGAGUGGGCCAGAUACGAAUGAUAUAGAAGUUCACUGAGUCAUCCAGUUAGGAUGUCCUCACUGCCAUAUGCACCAGAAAAGAGUAAAGACCGAGGGGUGAUUUUUUCUAAGAUAAAACUGAAGUAAAAAUGUGGACUAUGUGCUUUUCAGUGAUGAUGUACUUAGUGAUAUCACCCACGGCCCAGAUGAUAAAGUUUAGUUAUAUAUUCUGUGUUGUAUAUACUUUCUAAGAAGAUUGCUUUGGUUUUGACCUGCAGUACCUAAGCAGGUCUGUAAACCUUUUGGUUAAGCUGCCGCUUGAGAAUUGCUUUGUUUUCCAGAGAAACCAAGGCUCACGCUUUGUACAUACUUUAUUUGAAUAAUCAAAGUAGCAGCAUUAUUAAUAUCUGACGGAAUUAUUAGCUGCCUCAUCACAGAACCAGCAAGAAACCACUCUCUCAAGUGCGAGUCUCAAGACAAUUCAAGUCUCCUUCAUCCUUAAGAAACCAAAAUGGACAAGUGUGCUUUUCAUUUGGCUCCAGAGAAGCUAUAGCUGAGGCGCCGGGGGGACUCGGUCAGUGAAGCAUCUGCUCUUGAUCUCGGCUCAGGUCAUGAUCUCACGUUCGAGAGUCUGAGCCCCGUGUCUGUCAGCGCAGAGCCUGCUUGGGAGUGUCCUUCCAUGUCUCUGCCCCUCCCUCUCUCUCAAAAGAACAACAACAAAGCUGUAAUUUAGAGCAAAAUGUAUUAAGUUGUGUGGCUGUACCUUCUAUUCCUGGUAGACACAACUGUUUACAGAAUUUACUAGCACGUCUGGCACAAAGCUGAGAUGGACGACUCAAAGGUGGUGUUACUCCAAGUAAGCUCAAACUUUGUCUUCCUUCCCUGACCCCGCUUCUGUCAAAAUAACUUGCCACUUUUCCUAUAAUUAAGUUUCAUCUGUUAAAGAUUUUUUUUUUUUUUCCUCCUUGCUGACUUCUAACAGCUUUCACCCUUCUGAGCCUAAACUCCUACUGAAGGAAUUACUCGUUGUUCUACUUGGUUUCUAGCCUGGCCUUACCUCUUGGAUCAACAGUACAUCACCUUGUAAUAAUGUGCGCUUAUAAAGAUGAUGAUGGAGGUCUUCAGCAUGAUUUUGAGAGAACAAAUUUUCUUUAAAAACCCAUUUCUCUUAAGUGUGUUUUAGAUUAAGGUACUGUCUCCCUUGCUGUUCCUGACCUAUCCACUGCUGCUCGGUCUUGUGAUUUUUCUAGAAAGUACUAGAUACAGUACUAGUGCAUGAUUCAAUAUAGCUGAAAAAAUUCCAAUCCCAGCUGUCAUUUAGUUAAAAAUAUUACACAUUAGUGUCCACCUUGAAGUCUUGAGACUUGAGAUACAAAGAAAAUAGACCAACAUUGUGGUAUUUUAUUGAGAAAACUGUAGGAAAAGGCCGUUUUAGUACUGUAAAGUAAAAACGGCUCUCUCAAAUAUCUGUACAAUGUGGUCAAAUAUGCGACCUUUUGAAAAAUUUUCAUUAAAAUUGUAAUUCAAACAAUUAUAAAACCAAUCAGGAACUAAAUAAUUUUAUACAUCUAUGUAGUCCAGAUGGAGUUUGACUUACUAGUUUGCCAAAUAUUUCUUAAGAGAAUUUAAGACCUGUGGGGAAUCUGUAGAGACGAUAGCUCUUCCCAUGAGGCCCAGUGUGGCGGACAAACCUCGGCUGCCUUCCCAGCGUUCGUAACAAGGGCACAGGAUCUGCUUUUUAAAAAUUACUUGAUGGAUUCUAAGAACAAGGAUAAAAGUUAGUUCAUGAGUCGUAUCUUCUUUUAUCUUUUCCCGGAAUAAAGGGUAACUGCAAAUACAAAAAGUUGUCACCUCCAAUUCAGGACCUGUGGCAACUGCAGAUUAGACAUCACACCGCCUCCCUCGAACCUGCCUACCAAGUGAGAGAAGUCAUCCUUCAAGGCCAGCAAAUUCGCCCCUUAUUUAGUGCUUGGCAUACACAGACUUGUUUUUAAUGCAGAAAUUCACCAGGGCUAGUAGAAAAUUUCAAGUUAGAAAAGAGACUUUUAAUUUUCUUAAAUAAUUCUAUGUACCAUUCCACAUUGUGGAAAAACCGAAGUAUGCAGUCUGGAGACAACAUCGAGAUUUGAGAACACUGGCACAAAUACAUCGCUAUUUCAGAAUAUAUUAGAACCCCCACGUCCCAUCUUACAGCCCGUAACAGAUACCCAGCCCGAAACUGCAAGAGGUUUACAGAUGAAACUUCAAAUCUGGAGGUGUUAGCUGUGCCAGGGUCCUAAACAGGUCUGGAAAGGACUCCGUCCCGACUGUUCCGUCACUGCAGCUGCACCCUGUAUGCGCCUAUCAGCAACUUCACCUGUUGAAAGAAAAGAAGCAACGUAGCAGCACCAACACCUCUGCCGAGCCCCCCUUUCUUAGAGGAGGGAAAACGCGCGCGCGCGCGGCCGAGAGUUCUUAUUUGGCAAUGUUCUCAAAUUGAUUAUCAAUUCAAGUGUUAGGUUAUCACUUUUAAUAAAUCCAAGUGCUUAAAGUUAUUAUAGUAAAUAACUACCACUUAUUACAUAGACUUUUUUGGUUCAUCUUCAUUUUACAAAGAAAUGUUUAGUGAGCAGCCUAUGAGACAUACAUAUGGCCAUUAAAUAACAGCCUAGAAUACAACUGCGGCUGCUCCGUACUGGAGAGAUGCAUUCUUCUCAUCUUUCCACACAAUUUAUGACACACAAUUAUGUCUAACACAUUGUAUUUUUUUUUUUUUUUCCCCCUUUAAGAAGGCUUCACAUCCAGCGUGGAGCCCAAUGUGGGGCUUGUGAACUCAACGACCACUGGAUGCUUAGGGACACCUGGGUAGCUUUGUUGGUUGAGCACCUACUUUGGCUCAGGUCAUGAUCUCACGGUUCGUGAGACUGAGCCCCACAUUGGGCUUGCUGCUGGAAUAGCAAUGUGAGUAGUUGCACUAAAUGUGAGGAAAGGAUUGUCACCUUGGCAGAAGGCGCUUCCGUCAACCUUAUGAAGAGUUUAUUGAGGCCUGUAGCAGGGCUGAACGAGUAAACAAAAUGGCUAUCCUAGAGAGAAAGACCACAGUCAGUGUUUCCUCAAACUUCUACGUCUAAGAGUAUCACUGUAGCUUAAGAGAACAAAAACCUUUCAGACUCCCAGUGACGUAGAAGAGAAUACCAGUUUGUAUUUUAAUUUAUAUAAAGCAAUUUCCUGUGACUACUUUCCCCUUGAUUUAUUAAAAAGAUACGAAUGACAAAAAAGCUUGUUAAGAUUUAUCUGCAAAAAAACAAUACUCAGAUAAAUCUUUAGGAUUAGCAUGUAUCCAGCCAUAUAGAGCCUGAGUGUUAAAAAAUCUUCAUAACCAGUUAAUUUUGCUGAAUUCAGCCUAAGGAAAGAAUUCUACCUGUGGAAAAGGAAACAUACACAAAGAUUCUUCAAGACCAUUUUUUUAUGUUAAAAAAUGUAUAUAGCCACUAAUAGAUUUGUUAUUAUAAAGCAAAAUUACAGUACAAUGCUUGCCUAAAGCUCAGCCUAAGAACACCCAUGUUAUACUAGUGGUUGUGUUUCUGGGUAUUUGAAGAACAGAAUCCUUUUAAGAUUUCCAAAUUUUUCUUUAAGUGAAUGUUUGUAAUGAUAACGGUGGGAAAAGGCAGAGUAUUUUAAAAUCAUUAUGUUUCUUCUACCUUAAGGAUUUCUAAGACGUGGUAAAUGUAACUUAAGGCAUAUAUAUCAAACAUUUAGAAAUCCAGACUUAUAUUGACAAAAUGCGGGACAAUUUUACUUUAUGAUUAUGGGUUAUUGCCUCAUUUCCAAGUGGUUUACUAAAUUAAAAUUAACGUACUUUAUUUAAAACAGCAAUUUAAACGUCA